rnacentral:lncRNA from 1 species
GCUAAAUCCUAGUAGACCUUUACUUUUCAAAGUAGCAAUCCUUCUAACUUUGUUUGUGACAUCACAUAAUUUAACCUACAUGAUUUCAUCAUGUCACUAGUCAUAUGUAUUACAGAUAAAGCUUGUCAUAUAGAGGACUCCUUAUUUUAAGUAGGAUGAUGCUGUUUUUUUCUCUCUAGUUUUCUGUAUAUUUCGAAAAAAUAUUUCUUUCUAUAUUCCUUUUUUUAACACUCAGUCAGAAUAUUGUCAGUUUUCAUCAUUAAACAACCAUUUAUAUAAUUGCCCUGUUUGGUUUUCCAUUCUUCUACAGCAUCUUUUCCCUUAAUCCUGCUCAUUGAAGCAUGAACUGUAACUUAUGCCUGCUUUUGAAGCACACAUUGAAUGUUAUACACCUAUUUCAAUGUAAUAAAGAUUGAAAUAUACACAUAUUAUAAAUGCAAUUUCAAAACAUACAAAAAGUACAAAGAUUGGGAUAAAUAAAAUAAUCAAUUUAUUUGCAAAGUUUUUGUUAUUGUAAAUUGUUGAAUACACAUAUACGUAAAUGAACACUUUACAUUUCUUAAAUAAACAGCCAUAUUAAACACAAUCUAGUGGUGAUUUUUAAUCUAUCAAUUCUGUCUGAAUACAACACUUUAAUGAAUUUUGUAUAUUCUGUUUAAAUAUGAUAAAAGUUGGAAUUCCAUAUUUCUGGUAAACUUUUAGCAGAUGUGGUUAAAAUUGCCAAAAAUUAUCAAAUUUGAUAUUAAUGGCAUAGUGUCUUGGCAGAUAUUUAUAUAUAUGGUAUGUAAGCUUAUAACAUUGGAAUAAGACACAGUCACAACUCAACAUGUAUAAAAGGAAAAUCAAUCAAUCUCAUAGUGAGGUUUCCAUAUUAUGGAGAUGUGGUUACUAUAAUAACUGAUUGUUCUACAUUGAAAUACUAGUAUUUUUAUGAGGGAAAAAUCUUUGUUUCAUUACAAUGUUGUUUAAAUAUCAAAGGCAAUUAAUUAUACACUGGUAAAGAUUUUUCUUAUCAAAAGUUGGGAUGCUUUUUACACCAUAUCUGCAUUAAACUAAAAAACUUAGAAGGAAAAAAUCUUUCACUGAAAUGUAAUGUAUGCUUAAAGAGAUGACAAUCAGAGGCUGGGUAUUUUGGCUCAAAUCUCAAGUGUCAGUUAUGUACAUACAACCUACUUUUAUUUAUUAUAAGCUUAUUGUUUAUCUUGUGAACUUAAGGGGGCUCGUGGGUCUAAAUCAUUUUUUUUUUAUUUAAUAUAGGAUCUCCUUAUUUUUCUCAAUGACUUAUUUAUACUAAUAGAAAAAUGAAAUAAAAAGAUGGGUCCUGUCAUUUAACGCCAA